UGUUAGACUUUUCUGUAAUUUCUACAGUUAUUUACCAUUUAUCAACCAGUAUAAUACUGUAAAUUCUCUUUACAGUUUAUAACUGUAAUUCCCUUUGCAUCAUGGGAAUUUUCUGUGACAUUAAACACCAAAUACAGUGAUUUGCUGUAUUUUUUAAAAAUAAAGUAUAAUACUGUAUUUACCACAACGGACUAUUUGGCGCUAUUUGGAUCGUCAGGAUUUGCUUUACGAUUUAGAUUAGGAACCAUAAAGUGCAGGGUUGAAGUUUUGCCCGAGGAGAGUGAUCAGCUGACGACGCCGGAGAACAUAAGAGCUGAGUACAAGGACAGACACCUUGCGAAGAUUUUUUCAUCCCCGUGAGUAAGGAAGAGGAAGAACAGCAAACAAGCAAGCUACAAUAAAGGCAUCCAUCGAGAAAGACAUGAGCCUUCCAGCCACACCAAGACUCAUAAUGCUUGGUCACAAUUUUUCUCUUCCACAAAGUGGAUGGUAAGCAUUGAGGGAAAGGUGGCCUAUGUUUUGGAUGAGCACCUGGGAUGAGCAGAUGCCUUUCUGUAUUCUUCAUCUUUUUCUACAUUUUCAACAUUGAAUACAAGGGGAGACUGCCUGUGCAACACUGAAACUCAUAAAACAGUUUUUCUUGAGGAUAAACCCAGAGGAGGGAACAAAAUGCACCGCCAAAACCGGAGUGAGUCGGAAGACAGGGGAAGUUGUGAAGAGAAAGACAACAGUAAUAAACAACCGUGUCAUCCUUUCUUCGCCACCUAAUGGAGUUUGAGUGGAGAAACUCGGACUAGGUGAAAUGCUUCUUAACAGGACAUCUACUGUAUACAGACACUUUUCAAUUUGAGGAUACUAAUGCAGUUUACUUUUAAUUCAUCCUGCAAUAAUGGUUACAAUGUUGUUUUUGAUUAAAUUGAAUUGAGGUGAUUCAGUAAUAUGAUGAUUUUGGAGGAUGUAGUUUGUGCUGCUUCUAUUAUUUACUGACAGUUUUCUAUUUAAUUAUCUAUUCUGUUAAGCUAAAUAACCGAAACACCGCUCUGUAAUAUGGAAUCAGGUUCAGCAUCACUACAAAGAACAUUCUUCAAAAUAUUCAUAGCAUUGAAUCACCACCUCCCUAAAAUAGUUUCAACAAUCUUCAUGAUGGCAUUGCAGGACUGGAUUAAACAGCAUUUGUAUUGUUAGUUUACCUCAAAGUGUUAACCAAGUGUAUAAAAUACUGUUUAACCAUAUGAUGAAAUGUAAUAGGAUUCAUUUUUAGGAUUUUUAAAAUUUACAU